GAUGAACGCUGGCGGCGUGCCUAAUACAUGCAAGUAGAACGCUGAAGGAGGAGCUUGCUCUUCUGGAUGAGUUGCGAACGGGUGAGUAACGCGUAGGUAACCUGCCUGGUAGCGGGGGAUAACUAUUGGAAACGAUAGCUAAUACCGCAUGACAACAGUUACUGCAUGAUAACUGUUUAAAAGGGGCAACUGCUCCACUACCAGAUGGACCUGCGUUGUAUUAGCUAGUUGGUGAGGUAACGGCUCACCAAGGCGACGAUACAUAGCCGACCGGAGAGGGGGAUCGGCCACACUGGGACGGAGACACGGCCCAGACUCAUACGGGAGGCAGCAGUAGGGAAUCGUCGGCAAUGGGCGGAAGACUGACCGAGCAACGCCGCGUGAGUGAAGAAGGUUGUCGGAUCGUAAAGCUCUGUUGUAAGAGAAGAACGAGUGUGAGAGUGGAAAGUUCACACUGUGACGGUAUCUUACCAGAAAGGGACGGCUAACUACGUG
rnacentral:rRNA from 1 species